CAUGUCAUCAUUCGACAAGCACUCAGGGAAAACUCAGGAAGAAGCUAAACUCUCCUUUCUCAAAAUCAUUUACAAGUGGGCCACAUUCGGUUCUGCCUUCUUUGAAGUAAAGCAAACAACUGAUCCAAACUUUCCAGAAACCCUCCUGAUUGCAGUCAACAAACAUGGAGUCAGCUUGAUUGAUCCCAAGUCCAAGGACAUCCUCACCACUCACCCCUUCACUAAAAUCUCCAACUGGAGCAGCGGAAACACAUACUUCCACAUCACCAUUGGAAACCUGGUCCGAGGCAGCAAACUCCUGUGUGAGACUUUGCUGACUAGAAGGUGGCGGUAAUGUACCUAAAGCUGGUUGCCAAUCGCCAUUAAGCAACAGAGGAAAAAGAAGAAGAAGAAGAGGAGGAGGAAGAGGAAAAAGAAGAAGAAGGAAUCUGAUUGGACAGUGGAAGUCCAAUCACAGAGCAGAGAGAAAUUGUCCAAUCAGUGUGGUAGCUGGGUUUUAUAAGGUAGUCGCCGGUGGCGCGGGAGCUGUUCUACUAUUCAGGUGGGAUACUUUAUCCAGUGUUAGCUGAAUGCUAAUGUAGGACGUUAGCAAACUUCUGCUAGCAAGAAAUCCUUCAAGGGUGAGGUCCAAACUGGUUGGCGUCUUUUUACUGAGAUGUCUUGUUACAGGCCCUGAUCCUCCAAAUGGCCAGGAACCAGACAUCCAUGGCUCAAAGUUCUUCCUUGAUGCUGCAAAGAAACCUGACUUUGCAUCCAGUCUCCAAUCCAAGAUCUUGACAGUUAGAUGGAACAAGCCUUCACUAUGUGGAUCAUGCUGGCGUACAGUGCCUUACGUCUUUCAUAUUAAAACAUUACAAAAAAGAUUGAGCUGUAAUGCUUCACUGAAAACAAAGAGCCCAGAACAAGGCUGAAAAGUCAAAAAUAGUCCUGAAAAAAAAAUCAUGCUGUUUCAACUAUGUCCUCAAAAGUCACUUCACAUCUUUGGUACUUCACUACCUCUAGUAAGGAACUAGUGCCUCACUUUAUAUAUUAGAAGAACCAGAAAGUACAAGGUGUCACAGCUUUUAUUACAAA